rnacentral:rRNA from 1 species
GACGAACGCUGGCGGCGUGCUUGACACAUGCAAGUCGAACGGAAAGGCCCUGCUUUUGUGGGGUGCUCGAGUGGCGAACGGGUGAGUAACACGUGAGUAACCUGCCCUUGACUUUGGGAUAACUUCAGGAAACUGGGGCUAAUACCGGAUAGGAGCUCCUGCUGCAUGGUGGGGGUUGGAAAGUUUCGGCGGUUGGGGAUGGACUCGCGGCUUAUCAGCUUGUUGGUGGGGUAGUGGCUUACCAAGGCUUUGACGGGUAGCCGGCCUGAGAGGGUGACCGGCCACAUUGGGACUGAGAUACGGCCCAGACUCCUACGGGAGGCAGCAGUGGGGAAUAUUGCACAAUGGGCGGAAGCCUGAUGCAGCAACGCCGCGUGCGGGAUGACGGCCUUCGGGUUGUAAACCGCUUUCGCCUGUGACGAAGCGUGAGUGACGGUAAUGGGUAAAGAAGCACCGGCUAACUACGUGCCAGCAGCCGCGGUGAUACGUAGGGUGCGAGCGUUGUCCGGAUUUAUUGGGCGUAAAGGGCUCGUAGGUGGUUGAUCGCGUCGGAAGUGUAAUCUUGGGGCUUAACCCUGAGCGUGCUUUCGAUACGGGUUGACUUGAGGAAGGUAGGGGAGAAUGGAAUUCCUGGUGGAGCGGUGGAAUGCGCAGAUAUCAGGAGGAACACCAGUGGCGAAGGCGGUUCUCUGGGCCUUUCCUGACGCUGAGGAGCGAAAGCGUGGGGAGCGAACAGGCUUAGAUACCCUGGUAGUCCACGCUGUAAACGGUGGGUACUAGGUGUGGGGUCCAUUCCACGGGUUCCGUGCCGUAGCUAACGCUUUAAGUACCCCGCCUGGGGAGUACGGCCGCAAGGCUAAAACUCAAAGGAAUUGACGGGGCCCCGCACAAGCGGCGGAGCAUGCGGAUUAAUUCGAUGCAACGCGUAGAACCUUACCUGGGUUUGACAUGGAUCGGGAGUGCUCAGAGAUGGGUGUGCCUCUUUUGGGGUCGGUUCACAGGUGGUGCAUGGCUGUCGUCAGCUCGUGUCGUGAGAUGUUGGGUUAAGUCCCGCAACGAGCGCAACCCUUGUUCACUGUUGCCAGCACGUUAUGGUGGGGACUCAGUGGAGACCGCCGGGGUCAACUCGGAGGAAGGUGGGGAUGACGUCAAGUCAUCAUGCCCCUUAUGUCCAGGGCUUCACGCAUGCUACAAUGGCUGGUACAGAGAGUGGCGAGCCUGUGAGGGUGAGCGAAUCUCGGAAAGCCGGUCUCAGUUCGGAUUGGGGUCUGCAACUCGACCUCAUGGAGUCGGAGUCGCUAGUAAUCGCAGAUCAGCAACGCUGCGGUGAAUACGUUCCCGGGGCU